GGGGUUGUAGCUCAGCUGGGAGAGCACCUGCCUUGCACGCAGGGGGUCGGGAGUUCGAACCUCCCCAGCUCCACCA
rnacentral:tRNA from 2 species